CAUACACAAACAAAAAAAGAAAAACACAAUUGAAAAUGCACUAGUAUGCAUAUUCAGUUUGUUUGUUUUUUAUUUUUG
rnacentral:ribozyme from 14 species